rnacentral:other from 1 species
GUCUGAAAGACGAAUUCACCAUAACAAGGAUUGAAAC